UUGUGUGUGUGUGUGCGCGCGAAUGAAAGAGAGCUUUUUGUGUAUGUGUGUGUGUGUAUGUAUGUGAAUAAGAGAGAAAGCGUGAAGCCUAUGUGUGUGAGGCAAACCCCAAAAUAGUGACCCAUCCCCGGGUAAGCUUUGGUUGGGGGAGAGGCAGUUAAGUGAGUCUGGGGGAAGGUGGCUCAUGCUAGCGAGCGUCUGGAAUGACAAAGGUCCAGUUGGAGGAUGGUGGGUCUCAAUUGGUGGGCUUGCUAGCAACAACUCUCACCGUUUGAGUUGUUGAUCCAGGCCUAAAAUGCCAAGUCAUGCCAGACUGGAGGCCCCCUUUCCCGGCCUACGUGUUGGGACAUCUCAUGCCUGAAGGUACGUGCAUGACCCCAUUUAUCUCUGAUCUGUUGUCAGGAUUUUGAUGACAUGUGAUAUCGCAGACUUAAGUUCUGGCUGCCACAAUCCCGGCUGAUCUCUAAAACAUACCCAGAAAAGGGUAAGGGUGACUGUUUUCCUGGUCUGGUUCAGUCCUGUCAGGUGUGCAAACCCACAGCAAAAAGCCGUGCAAAGUCCCACACUUCUGGCCCAGUGAAGCUGUCCAAAUGGUGGAGUUCGAUGAUUAUAUAAUUCCUUUGUGAAAAGAAAGAAGCCGUGCAAAGGCUCACAUGGCUGGCACAGUGAAGCUGCCCAAAAAUGGUGCCUAUUCGAUAGUUCGUUCUUGGUUCCAGAGGUUCUUGGACCUGUGGGCUGCUCUGCAGGGUGGGAGGCAGGCCACCUACUUAUUUUUUUUUUUUGCCUCCAGAGCCAGCCCCUGCAGGACCCUGAAAAAAUAUUUUCAAUAUGCAUGGACUAGCAUGGGGCUUCCAGGCAAACUGACCUUCACUGAUAUCCGGACAGCCAUCGCAACACACUUGAUCAACACACUUGAUCAUGCUUGUAUUGCUCCUGGAGCCACAUGACUGCCAGUGGCUUUGACCCAUAAGAGGUUCUGUUUGUCUGUUUGUCUCUGAUGCAGGCAAAGAAUGCUUUCUUCAGAGGAUUGCCGGAAGGUGGCACACUUCAUGUGUCAUGACACUUCAACCUCAGAUCAAUUUUACGCACUUCUCCUGAGCCCUCUGCAAGCAUGUGAGCACCACAGACUCUCUCAGAGGGCCUUGGUGGAGAAGGAGGAGGAGGAAGCAGCGGGCAAAGAAGCCACCCAAAAAAGGGGUGCAAGAGGGCAGACAGUCCUGGAUCACCCCUGUGGGAACCAGCAGGAGGACUCUGCCAUAGCAGUCUGUAAAGGGGAAAAGCCAGGGAGCACGGCCACCACUGGAUGACUCUAAAUCUCCCUGAAGAAAUAAAAACUUUCUAAAACAAUAAAGGUCAUAUGGUGUUCAGACA